GAGUUUGAUCGUGGCUCAGAAUGAACGCUGGCGGCGUGCCUUACACAUGCAAGUCGAGCGAGGCCGGGUAGCAAUACCCGAGUCGAGCGGCGAACGGGUGAGUAACACGUGGAUUAUCUGCCCUAAGGUGGGGGAUAACCCGGGGAAACUCGGGCUAAUACCGCAUAUGACCGAGAGGUCAAAGGGGGGUCGCAAGAUCUCUCGCCUUUGGAGGAGUCCGCGUCCGAUUAGCCUAGUUGGUAGGGUAAUGGCCUACCAAGGCGACGAUCGGUAGCCGGCCUGAGAGGGUGAUCGGCCACACUGGAACUGAGACACGGUCCAGACUCCUACGGGAGGCAGCAGUGGGGAAUUUUGCGCAAUGGGCAAACGCCUGACGCAGCAACGCCGCGUGGAGGAUGAAGGUCCUUGGAUUGUAAACUCCUGUCAGCAGGGAAAAAGCAAUUUAGCCUAAUACGCUAGAGAGUUGAUUGUACCUGCAGAGGAAGCCCCGGCUAACUCUGUGCCAGCAGCCGCAGUAAG
rnacentral:rRNA from 1 species